rnacentral:lncRNA from 1 species
CUCGUGCUUUGAAUGUUCCUGCUGUGAGUGUGGAACAUCAUUUUUGGAGCCAACUGCAAAAAUGGUUUAAGUUCAUAGCUGCAAACUAAACAAAAUUAUGAAAAAGCAAAAGAAAUGAAGUGCAGAAAGCGAAGUAUACCUAAAAUUCUCACUCUGGUGAGAAAAGUUGGCUGAUGUUUGAACUGUAGGAUUUUUUUUUUUCUUUCUUGAGCCGGAGUCUUGGUUUGUCACCAGGCUGGAGUGUAGUGGCACUAUCUCGGCUCACUGCAGCCUCCGCCUUCUGGGUUCAAGCGAUUCUCCUGCCUCAGCCUUCCGAGUAGCUGGGAUUACAGGCAUGCACCAACACGCUCAGUGUUUAACUGCUGAAGAGAUCUUUUCCCUUCAUGGCUUUUCAAAUGCUACCCAAAUAACCAGCUCCAAAUUCUCUGUCAUCUGUCCAGCAGUCUUACAGCAAUUGAACUUUCACCCAUGUGAGGAUCGGCCCAAGCACAAAACAAGACCAAGUCAUUCAGAAGUUUGGGGAUAUGGAUUCCUGUCAGUGACGAUUAUUAAUCUGGCAUCUCUCCUCGGAUUGAUUUUGACUCCACUGAUAAAGAAAUCUUAUUUCCCAAAGAUUUUGACCUUUUUUGUGGGGCUGGCUAUUGGGACUCUUUUUUCAAAUGCAAUUUUCCAACUUAUUCCAGAGGCAUUUGGAUUUGAUCCCAAAGUCGACAGUUAUGUUGAGAAGGCAGUUGCUGUGUUUGGUGGAUUUUACCUACUUUUCUUUUUUGAA